AGAGAGAGAGAGAUCGGAUGGUUAGGUUGUGCUUCAUUGCAUCCUCGGAGGUAUGGGAAAAAAAAUAUAUUCUCCCUUGCUUAUAAAUGCUACAUACCAAUUGUGAGCCUGAGGGAUAAUUCAUACACAGCAAGUUGUACAGAUGUUCUAUUAGCUUUAUUUCGUCUUUGCACUCAAUAAAAAUCUCGGAGGUUAUGUUACAAUGAAGGAAGGAAUACUUUAACAACUUCGUGACGUGAGAGGAUGGGAUAUUUUAUGGAGGAAGAGGAGGAGGAAGAGGAUAUAAAAGGAUACCAGUGUCUCUCCAUGCAGUAGAGGAGGAGGAGGAGAAGAAAAAGAGGAGGAGGAGGAGGAGGACUUGAAAGGAUACCAGUGUCUCUCCAUGCAGUAGAGGA